CCUACGUGGGGGCAGCAGUGGGGAAUAUUGGACAAUGGGCGAAAGCCUGAUCCAGCCAUGCCGCGUGUGUGAAGAAGGCCUUCGGGUUGUAAAGCACUUUCAGUGGGGAAGAAAGCCUUGGGGCUAAUACCCUCGAGGAAGGACAUCACCCACAGAAGAAGCACCGGCUAACUCCGUGCCAGCAGCCGCGGUAAUACGGAGGGUGCGAGCGUUAAUCGGAAUUACUGGGCGUAAAGCGCGCGUAGGCGGUCUGAUAAGCCGGUUGUGAAAGCCCCGGGCUCAACCUGGGAACGGCAUCCGGAACUGUCAGGCUAGAGUGCAGGAGAGGAAGGUAGAAUUCCCGGUGUAGCGGUGAAAUGCGUAGAGAUCGGGAGGAAUACCAGUGGCGAAGGCGGCCUUCUGGACUGACACUGACGCUGAGGUGCGAAAGCGUGGGUAGCAAACAGGAUUAGAUACCCGAGUAGUC
rnacentral:rRNA from 1 species